rfam:Prunus persica cultivar Lovell chromosome G7, whole genome shotgun sequence.
AUCCCAGUAGUUUAGUAGUAGAGCAGUUAGCUAUUCACCACUGAUUCGUUGUAGGUUCAAAUCCUACUUGGGAUC